UUUAACAAAAAAGGUUUAAAACACUAAACUAGUUAAUUAGAGGAAAAAAUAACGUUUUUUUGUGUGUCCAAAUGAAAUAUAUAAGAGUAGUCUCUAUUUAUAGAUUGUAAAAAGUUAUGAAUUUUGAUAUAAUUUUAUUAUUUAAAAAUAAAAAUAUUAUAUAAUAAAUGAGUUUUAGUUAUUGGGUAAAAAUUAAAAAUAAAGUAAAUGUACACAACAUUUCUAUCUAAUCAAUUUAAGCCAAGUGGCAAAACUGGUCCACGUAAAAUUUUAUCAACAUGUUAAAUUUUCCAACGAAUGUUGAAUCCAUAGAGAUAGACACAAUAUUUCAACACUCUCAUUGCAGGGUAUUCAACAGUUGAAACUUAUUUUCAAUACCUCCACUGUGGGUGGUCUAACUUUUAUCAAAACUCUUAAAAUCAUAUAAAAUCUUAACAUUUUUACCAAAAAAAAAAAAAACAAACACAAUCACUAUUUCUCAUGACAAAAGUAAUCAACUAUAAAGUGUGUGGGUUUGGCUGCAUAUCCAUGAUGUAAAAUAUAUCGACCCACAUCCAUCUGAAAUCAUCCGCUUCGCAUAAACAAUUUGAAAAAAAUACCCAUAUCAGCCCCACGGCGGUCAAACGGUGUUGACCCACUAAACUAAAUUCCCAAUUCUACAAUAGUCCAGACUGUCCACUAAGGGGAUUCUUUUAUCUCCAAUGGCUAGUUUAAGACGUUGACAAAAAUCCGAAGACUUAGUAUGGCUUGCCGUUUAUGGAGUUUCAAAUUUGAAUUGACUUACUAUGAGUCCAACCACCAACCAUGACUUUCCUUAUUCUGAUAAUUUCCAUCCACUUCAAUACUUAUCCUAUCAUCCUCGUUCUCUGUAAAUAGCAGGCAUUCAGUGUAACAUUUUUCAUUCAUUACUUCUUUUUUUUUAUCAAGAUUGUUAUAACAUAAGCAGUUGAAUAAAAUGGCUUCCAAGGCUUUGUUUCUGUUGGGUUUCUUUACUCUUUUCCUCCUUGUCUCAGAAGUAGUCGGAGCAUCUGAAAGCCAGUCGGGUACGUAAAAUAUACAAUCAAACUGUACAGUGUUUUAUCAACCAAAAUGUUUGCAAGACUAACUGCACCCUAAGUAUGUAACAUUUAAUUACUAGUUUUAUCUAACUCUUAGACGAUCUCUAAGUCCAAAAAAAAAGUGGGUUUGUACGGUGGUCAAAUUUUCGGGACUUACUAAAAGUGAAACCACACUUAGUUACGUAUUAAUUAUCAUAUAAAUCAAGACGUAGUUUAUAUAAAAAACAAGAGUUCCGAAUAAUUUUAAAAGGUAAGAGAAACUAAUUUUGAACUCCGGCAGAGUAAAUACACAUUUCCCCAUGCUAAACAAUAUUUUUGAAAUAACAUGUUGUUUUGGACAGGCACUGUUAAAUUGGGGAGUGAGGAAACAAUCCAAAGUGGUGAUGGUGGCCGUGGAGGCUACAACGGAGAACGAAAUGGGGUAGACAAGGAAGGACCAAUUAAUGUGGGAUACAACAGAAAGGGACAAUGGGGAUACAGAUACUCGGGUUGCCACCACGGCUGCUGCUUACAAAUUAUUGGCUGCUAUAAAUGCUGUCCGUAAGUCGGAAAGCUGUUUAGAUUCAGUCUGGUCACUAAAACUAUAUAAUGCAUAAUGGUCUGUUGAGUUGUAACCUUUUCUACUUGAACAAUAAAAUGUUAGAGAUUCUAAUGCGGAAGCGGGUUAAACCGAAGACAUACCUUUAGCCCGGUUUAGCGGUGAACACUACUUGAUACAAUCUGGCAAGUCGGGGAUGAAAUCCCAGAUGGAAAUCAAC
rnacentral:lncRNA from 1 species